rnacentral:rRNA from 1 species
GGUUUUGUAAGUCUGCUGUUAAAGCGUCAUGCUUAACAUCAUAAGGGCAGUGGAAACUAUGAGACUAGAGUACGUUAGGGGUAGAGGGAAUUCCCAGUGUAGCGGUGAAAUGCGUAGAGAUUGGGAAGAACACCGGUGGCGAAAGCGCUCUGCUGGGCCUGUACUGACGCUGAGGGACGAAAGCUAGGGGAGCGAAUGGGAUUAGAUACCCCAGUAGUCCUAGCCGUAAAC